rnacentral:misc_RNA from 1 species
AAGUCGUAACAAGGUUUCCGUAGGCGAACCUGCGGAAGGAUCAUUAAGAAAAGUCCCGGUGCCGCAAGGCGCCUACCUUUCAAACCAAUGUGAAAACACCCGUUGCUUCGGCGGCAGCGUGCCCGACCUCGCCCUCCCACUCGGGGGAGGACGAAGGCGCGUGUCAGUCCGCCAGAGGCUCCAAACCGAAACCUUUCCGUAACCGUAGUCUGAUAAACAAAGAUUUAAUUCGUUAAAA